AUACGACCACAGGGUGUGGAAAACAGGGCUUCCCGUCCGCUCAGCCGUACUUAAGCCACACGCCGGGAGGUUAGUAGUUGGGUGGGUGACCACCAGCGAAUCCCUUCUGUUGUAU
rnacentral:rRNA from 1 species